UGAGGAAUCUUCCGCAAUGGGCGAAAGCCUGACGGAGCAACACCGCGUGAAGGAUGAAGUGGUUCGCCAUGUAAACUUCUUUUCUGAGGGAAGAAUUCUGACGGUACCUUAGGAAUAAGCACCGGCUAACUCUGUGCCAGCAGCCGCGGUAAUACAGAGGGUGCGAGCGUUAUCCGGAAUUACUGGGCGUAAAGCGUGUGUAGGCGGAGUGAUAAGUCGAGGGUAAAAUCUUCAAGCCCAACUUGAAGCUUGUUCUCGAAACUAUCAUUCUUGGAAGUAUUCAGAGGUAAGCGGAAUUCUGUGUGUAGGGGUAAAAUCCGUAGAUACACGGAGGAACACCAAAAGCGAAAGCAGCUUACUAGGAAUAUCUUGACGCUGAGACACGAAAGCGUGGGGAGCAAACAGG
rnacentral:rRNA from 1 species